rnacentral:rRNA from 1 species
CAGUUAUCGUUUAUUUGAUAGUACCUUACUACAUGGAUAACCGUGGUAAUUCUAGAGCUAAUACAUGCUAAAAACCUCGACUUCGGAAGGGGUGUAUUUAUUAGAUAAAAAACCAAUGCCCUUCGGGGCUCCUUGGUGAUUCAUAAUAACUCAACGAAUCGCAUGGCCUUGCGCCGGCGAUGGUUCAUUCAAAUUUCUGCCCUAUCAACUUUCGAUGGUAGGAUAGUGGCCUACCAUGGUUUUAACGGGUAACGGGGAAUUAGGGUUCUAUUCCGGAGAGGGAGCCUGAGAAACGGCUACCACAUCCAAGGAAGGCAGCAGGCGCGCAAAUUACCCAAUCCCAACACGGGGAGGUAGUGACAAUAAAUACUGAUGUGGAGCUCUUUAGGGUUUCACAAUUGGAAUGAGUACAAUUUAAAUCCCUUAACGAGGAACAAUUGGAGGGCAAGUCUGGUGCCAGCAGCCGCGGUAAUUCCAGCUCCAAUAGCGUAUAUUAAAGUUGUUGCAGUUAAAAAGCUCGUAGUUGAACCUUGGGCCUGGCUGACCGGUCCGCCUCACCGCGAGCACUGGUUCGGCCGGGCCUUUCCUUCUGGGGAGCCGCAUGCCCUUCACUGGGUGUGUCGGGGAACCAGGACUUUUACUUUGAAAAAAUUAGAGUGUUCAAAGCAGGCCUAUGCUCGAAUACAUUAGCAUGGAAUAAUAGAAUAGGACGUGCGGUUCUAUUUUGUUGGUUUCUAGGACCGCCGUAAUGAUUAAUAGGGAUAGUCGGGGGCAUCAGUAUUCAAUUGUCAGAGGUGAAAUUCUUGGAUUUAUUGAAGACUAACUACUGCGAAAGCAUUUGCCAAGGAUGUUUUCAUUAAUCAGUGAACGAAAGUUAGGGGAUCGAAGACGAUCAAGAUCGGUUAGGAGGGAGAAUGGUGGAUCAUUGCCGCAUGAUGUACUUACUGCGCGCGCAGCCGCCACCGCCCUUGAGAACUUGGUCACCUCUGGUGUCCGGUCGUCCAUAGUCAAUACUAGUCUCGUGGGGAUGUUCCCCCUUGGCGACACCAUCCAACUGUGCGAACGCCUCGAUCGCAGGUAAUCCACAGCCAAUUCCCAAGCCCCUGCCCCGGCGGUAGGAGCAACGGAUGCAGUUUACAGACUGAAUGAUGGUGGGCUCCAGGUCGUUCGCGCCUGCAGUUUGAGAUACAGCCGAGUCCUCCGCGAUGAAUCGGAAGGAAAGCACGCAGAUACCGUCGUAGUCUUAACCAUAAACUAUGCCGACUAGGGAUCGGACGGUGUUAUCAUUUUGACCCGUUCGGCACCUUACGAGAAAUCAAAGUCUUUGGGUUCUGGGGGGAGUAUGGUCGCAAGGCUGAAACUUAAAGAAAUUGACGGAAAGGCACCACCAGGCGUGGAGCCUGCGGCUUAAUUUGACUCAACACGGGGAAACUCACCAGGUUAGUCACUCAGAUUACCGUCUGGGCCUGGAAGAGGACAGCGCCACGCUGUCUCAGUGCUGCUCGGUGGAGCAGUGCAACACUUGCUGGUACUGGGAAUGCCCCUCGGGCUGAUCCAGUGGCGAGCCCUCGGUGGGCCGUCGCAACGCACGCCUGGCAGUGGGUGAUCUCUCUGGAGAUCGCUUAACGUACGUGCUAACCCUGCAGGAUGACUGCACUCCGGGCCUGAAUAAGGUCCGGGGACUUGCCUCGGUGCAAGUGGAGAGACAAUCCGGGGGGGGGUUCGUUCAUUCGUCGCAUCCGGUAAACGAACGGAACCNUUCGCAUUGUCCGUUUGACGUGCCAGACACAGCAAGGAUUGACAGAUUGAGAGCUCUUUCUUGAUUNUGUGGUUGGUNGUGCAUG